GAAUGAAUUAAUGGCGAUGAUUUUCUGGGACUGAAGUAAAAAGAAGAUGUAUAUAUAGUACUUAUCAGUC
rfam:Camelus ferus unplaced genomic scaffold scaffold1857, whole genome shotgun sequence.